ACACAGCUAGUAAGUAUCUGAGGCUGGAUUUGACUUCAGGAAGAUAGAUGAGUCUUCUUCACUCCAAAUCCAACAUUCUUUGCAGUAUGGUUUCCCUUAGCUGUCAGCACAUAAUGGGAGUCAGAAGACCUGGGUUCAAUUGUGCCUUUGUCACUUGCUGGCUGUUUGACACUGGACAAAUCAUUUAACCUCUCUCAGCCUCAGUUUCCAUGGCUGUAAAAUGGAGACAUUAGGACUGAUAAUAUCUAACUUUCUUCCAGUUCUACAAAUAUGAUUCCAUGAUCAUGAUCAACGAUUAACACCAAAGAAACAAGUCGAACCAGCUACAUGUUAAAUUUUUCCACGUGAAAUACCUACUGUCCAGGCUUUGAGCUGUGACUAGACUGCCAGUACAGAGCCACGGGACAGGAGGGCCAGAGGAUAAAGUGGGGGACAGACAAGAAUAGAAGGACAGAGAGAAAGGAGAAGGAUAAAGUUCCUUUAAGGGGGCUACAUCAUUGCUCAAGGAGCUGCACUGAAGUUUAUCCUCAGGGCCCAGGAUGCAGACACUUUGACACUUAGGAGAAGGGACUGGACCCAAUGAGCGCUGACGUUUCUUGCAGGAGCAAAGUGAGUAAAAGCUAAUAUUCACAGUGAAUCCAUGUCUAAAUAUUUAUUUUUUUCACGUUUUCCAUGAAGUAUUUGCCGCCCCUCGGCCAUCAGCCUAACGGGCAGCCUCAUUAAAUAACCCCAGAGCCAGGACCGCGGAUUGCCUCAUCUCCCCCAGUAGCUUCAGGUGACUUAUUACAACAUGAUGUCACCCCUUGGCUGAUCCAAUGUUAUUCCUUCGAAGCAUUAAUUAGAGGCCAAGUUUAUCAGAAUCACCAACAGCCUCCACUAAAACACAGGAGAAAAGGAGCAGGGAAGGGCGCAGGUUAUUAAAUGUGCUGGAGGAGAGAACGGGCGCUUUCUCAAGUUAGAUGGGAAAUGAAAGAGGUCAUUCUUUAUGAGCGAGAAGGGGAGAGUUAGAGGAUGGAUUCGGACCCAACUCAGAUUAGGGGAUUAGCAAGGACAAAGCCCAGAGGACCCUGGGCUGCUGCCUCCCUCCUGGUUUUGAUACAGUCAUUUAUUGAUUUUUAAUCAUUAUUAUCAUUUUAAACAUUGGAGAGACGUGGGUGUGUGCACUGAGCCAUCCCUCUCCAAGCUGGACACCAGGAAAGGACAUGGGAGAAAAAAGGAGCUAAUGUUUCUUUGCAGACCCAUGGAAUUUACUUUCUACAGUCCAAGGAGCAAGUACAGUAGGGAUGUGAGCGGCUCCGAGAACCGCGGCCCAUCAAUCAGUGGGCCGGAUGGUCUGCGCCCGGGCAACGGCUGCCAAAGAAACAGAAUGGAACCUGGAAGAAUGUAACAGCUAUUUUUUCCAUCCUAAUUCUGUCCCUGAGCUCACAUCUUCGGCGACCGAGAUGGUUUUAAUUACCAAUUUAAUGAGCAUUAAAUAAGAUGGCUUUUACACAAAUAGGGACAUUUGACAAUGCUUGUGCGGAGCUAAUGGCGGAGCCAGGACCAGGCUUGACAGCGGGGGGACGCUCUGGAGGGCCUCUCCCUCCCUGGGCCUGGGCUCUGGCCUGAGCCUCACCAUGAAAUGGUGUGUCCCCAACAAACAAUGACCCGAGCCAGCGAUGGGAGAAGGAGAGCCGGGCCAGAGAGAAAGGUCUUCCUUAGAUUCUCAUCUCCCCCCACGGGGGGGCCUCCCAGUCAAAGGGACGUCCCACCACCUAGCACUCCCUCAGCAUCAGGGGACACAAGGCACCUCCUUAUGGGCAGUGGGAUCUGGGCUGCUUUCCUUGCUCCUCCUCCACUGCAGCCAUGGGAGAGUAAGAACAGCAGGUGACAAAAUAAAGUGUGGUUCUCAGCAGCCAAAGCUUCAGAGAUCCAAGGCCAGAAAGUCACUUCAUGAACUCAAAAAUCAUCCCGAGGGGGGCUGAGGAACGAUUCCUCCCAACCUGCUGAUCCUAAGAGUCACAUCAGUCACGUGGAGAGGCUGG